rnacentral:snRNA from 2 species
AUGCCUUUCUCGGCCUUUUGGCUAAGAUCAAGUGUAGUAUCUGUUCUUUUGAAGCACUGCUUCACAAUGUUGUAUUGAACUUAUUUUUUUAUGGGGAAGGAACCAUAAUAGUGGCUUGCCACUAGGGUUCCUUACGCGUCGCUAAAGCGUUGCACUAUAGCUUGAGCUUGGCGCACCCCAA